GCGCGAAAACUUUACAAUGCUGGCAACAGCGAUAAGGGAACCUCGAGUGCCAGGUUACAAAUCUGGCUGUCGAGAUGCCUAAAAAGCAUUUCAUAGCAAGGGCCGGGCAAGACCGGUGCCAGCCGCCGCGGUAACACCGGCGGCUCGAGUGGUAACCGUUAUUAUUGGGUCUAAAGGGUCUGUAGCCGGCCGGAUAAGUCUCUUGAGAAAUCUGGCAGCUUAACUGUCAGGCUUUCAGGAGAUACUGUCUGGCUCGAGGCCGGGAGAGGUGAGGGGUACUUCAGGGGUAGGGGUGAAAUCUGGUAAUCCUUGAAGGAUCACCAGUGGCGAAGGCGUUUCACCAGAACGGACCUGACGGCAAGGGACGAAAGCUAGGGGCACGAACCG
rnacentral:rRNA from 1 species